UACGUAGGGUGCAAGCGUUCAUCGGACUUACUGGGCGUAAAGCGUGCGCAGGCGGUUCGGCAAGCAAGAUGUGAAAUCCCAGGGCUUAACCUUGGAACUGCAUUUUUAACUCCCGGGCUAGAGUAUGUCAGAGGGGGGUAGAAUUCCACGUGUAGCAGUGAAAUGCGUAGAGAUGUGGAGGAAUACCGAUGGCGAAGGCAGCCCCCUGGGAUAAUACUGACGCUCAGGCACGAAAGCGUGGGGAGCAAACAGG
rnacentral:rRNA from 1 species